rnacentral:antisense_RNA from 1 species
CUUCACCGAGCCGAGCAGCAGCGGGCGGCCAUCGGGGCGGUCCUGGCCGUACGUGGCAAGCAGUGCCUGGGCCUC